ensembl:misc_RNA Y_RNA Y RNA
CUAUGGUCCAAGUGCAGUGAUGUUUACACCUCACAACCAGUUACGGAUUUCUUUGUUCCUUCUGCACUCCCACUGCUUCACUUAACUAGACUUAA